GGGGUUGUGGCUCAGCCUUAGAGUGCUCACCUAGCAUGUGUGAGGCCCUGAGUUCCAUUCUCAGCACCA
rnacentral:tRNA from 1 species